UACGAGAGGCCCAAACGUUAUUCGGAUUUACUGGGCUUAAAGAGUUCGUAGGCGGCGCAGAAAGUAGGGUGUGAAAGCCCUCGGCUCAACCGAGGAAUUGCGCUUUAAACUACUGUGCUUGAGGAACCUAGAGGUGAGCGGAACUGAUGGUGGAGCGGUGAAAUGCGUUGAUAUCAUCAGGAACACCGGAGGCGAAGGCGGCUCACUGGCUCAUUUCUGACGCUCAGGCGCGACAGCGUGGGGAUCAAACAGG
rnacentral:rRNA from 1 species